UUUUAUGAAUGCUCUGCUAGCAACGGCCCAUUGUUGACCCAAAGCUGAAUAAUAGAUGUACCAAAAGCUGUUCUCUGUAAGGGUAUUGCCAGCUGAACGCUAAAUAGGUGGGCUCUGCGGGCAUGUUACAAUUGUGCGUCGGUAGGUAACAAACCGGAAACAUGCUCAUAAACAAGUUUUCCGCACAUAAGACGCAGCCCGAAGAUAUUGAUUGGAUAUUUAUUAAUUUUAUCAAUGCACGCGAAAAAUCUUGAUUAAUGCAAAAAGGAAGUGUGUCAAGGUGUGCUUAAAUAUUUUUCUCCAAUUUUUUUUCCUGUGUUUAACUGUUUUUCCUCUUUUUGGAUAAAAAGUAAACUAGUUUUUUUUUAAGAAGCU